UGGGGAAUUUUGGGCAAUGGGCGAAAGCCUGACCCAGCAACGCCGCGUGAGGGAGGAAAUCCUUCGGGAUGUAAACCUCACAAGCAAGGGAAGAGAGCUCAGGGCCGAAUAAGCUCUGAGUCCGACGGUACCUUGCGUAAGCCACGGCUAACUACGUGCCAGCAGCCGCGGUAAUACGUAGGUGGCAAGCGUUGUUCGGAAUUAUUGGGCGUAAAGGGCGCGUAGGCGGCUUGCUAAGUCGGUUGUGAAAGCCCGGGGCUCAACCCCGGAGAGUCGACCGAUACUGGCGAGCUAGAGUACGGAAGAGGUAGCUGGAAUUCCCGGUGUAGCGGUGAAAUGCGUAGAUAUCGGGAGGAACACCUGAGGCGAAGGCGGGCUACUGGGCCGAUACUGACGCUGAUGCGCGAAAGCCAGGGGAGCAAACGGGAUUAGAUACCCCCGUAGUCC
rnacentral:rRNA from 1 species